UGAGAAAGGCAGCGAGAAAAGACUAAUGAUCCAGCAUGUGGAGCCAGUCAUUCCAAUAACAUGGACAAGUACGAAAAGGUGAAGAAAAUUGGGGAAGGUUCAUUUGGAAAGGCUAUCCUGGUCAAAUCCAAAGAUCAUGGACACCAAUAUGUCAUCAAGGAGAUUGGCAUAUCUGGAAUGUCCAGCAAAGAGAGGCAGGAAUCUCGGAAGGAAGUUGCUGUUCUUGCCAACAUGAGUCAUCCAAACAUCGUCCAGUAUAAGGAAUCUUUU